GGGGAAAGGAAGCGGCACGUGUUUGUCUUUGACGCAUUUAUUGGGCUUCGUAUGCGGGGGCGGGGGUGACCCAUUUCAAGCCAGGAUCGGAAGGAUUCAGAGGGAUUUGAGAGGGAGGCACGCAGGGCGAAGGGAAGACAAAUUUCAGAUUUCCGCAUUGUUCUAUGCUCGGCGAAGCUAGGGAAGUCCAGCGUUGUGGUGUGGUGAUUCCCUUUGGAUGAUCUGAUCUACUUGCCGGAUCUACGGCGUAUGCGUAUCCUCAGCCAGAGAUGCCAUAUCUAAUAGACGUCUCAGGUGACCAUUUAGACGUGUUAAUGGUCACCUUAGACGUGACGAGAUGGUAUUUCUGGCUGGGUCGUAGCCUACUCGUAAAGUUGUCGCAAGUCACGUACCUCCCCGACUACGACUAUAUAUGGAUAUGAAUAGGUACAAGAAAGUACGAAGAUGUGAACAAUGAUUUUAACUUUUUAAUUAAUAAACGUCUGUUUUCACA